CCUACGGGAGGCAGCAGUGGGGAAUAUUGCACAAUGGGGGAAACCCUGAUGCAGCAACGCCGCGUGAGUGAUGAAGGUCUUCGGAUUGUAAAGCUCUGUCUUCAGGGACGAUAAUGACGGUACCUGAGGAGGAAGCCACGGCUAACUACGUGCCAGCAGCCGCGGUAAU
rnacentral:rRNA from 1 species